AGCAAUAUAAGAAUAUAAGAGAUCUUACAGAUUUUCAAGUUCAGGAGUAUUAUAGGGCAAAAGGAGUGGACGCAUAGGAUUUAAGUAUCUGGGAGAAGGAAAUUAGUGAAAAUGAGGUAUUGGUUAUGACACCCCAACUUCUUUUGGAUGCUCUAAGAAAGGCUUUCUUGAAGAUGGAAUCAAUAUGCUUGAUGAUUAUUGAUGAGUGUCAUCAAGCAAUUGGUAACCAUCCCUAUGCAAAAGUAAUGAAGAAACAGGGGAUCACAAGAAAUUGUUGAAGAGGACAAGAGAGAGUUUCUUGUGUUGAAGAGUUGCUUGUGAACCAAUUGUUGAAGUUGAAUACUAUUGAGGUUGAAGGUAAAGCGAGUUGCAAAGAAAAGAUGAAGAUUAAGUUACAAGUACAAUUGUUAGCUUUACGUGUUUGGAUUAAUUUAGAAUUUUUUAAAUUUACAUUCUAUGGAUUAUGACUGUGUAAAAC